rnacentral:lncRNA from 1 species
UCUGGCUGCCCGUAGCUACUAUUUUUAGUCCUGGUGAGCAGUGAAAGGAGGAGAGCCGGGAGGGAGGAAGACAGGCUUACGGGGAUCAGGAGCCAGUCUCUUUUCAUUAGCUGGGCACUGCUUUUGCCCAGCCAGCAGGGCAAGUCAAAGGCUAUGUAUCGAGCAGUUCGGUGUAGGGACUAAGAAGAUGUAAGACAGUGAGGCCAAGAUGCAGGGGGUAGUUGGACUCCUGGCCCUUGGGACUGUCAGUGGCCGGGCAGAGAGCAGAUGUGAGAGGCAGGAGCAGAAAGGUCUCCAUUUUGCCCUCCACAUGUUUGUUCCCUGGAAAGCAGACAGAGAGCAGCUGAAAGAGAGCAAGGUUUGGUUCCUUGGGGCGCAUCAGAGUGCCACGUCUGACAACAGAUUUAUCAUCAUUCAAAGGGUGCAGUAA